GACGAACGCUGGCGGCGUGCUUAACACAUGCAAGUCGAGCGGUAAGGCCCUUUCGGGGGUACACGAGCGGCGAACGGGUGAGUAACACGUGGGUGACCUGCCCUCAGCUCUGGGAUAAGCCCGGGAAACUGGGUCUAAUACCGGAUAUGACUCCAUGACGCAUGUUGUGGGGUGGAAAGCCUUGUGCGGCUGAGGAUGGGCCCGCGGCCUAUCAGCUUGUUGGCGGGGUGANGGCCUACCAAGGCGACGACGGGUAGCCGGCCUGAGAGGGCGACCGGCCACACUGGGACUGAGACACGGCCCAGACUCCGUACGGGAGGCAGCAGUGGGGAAUCUUGCGCAAUGGGACGAAAGCCUGACGCAGCGACGCCGCGUGAGGGAUGACGGCCU
rnacentral:rRNA from 1 species